CUAGUAACUGCGAGUGAAGCGGGAAAAGCUCAAAUUUAAAAUCUGAUGGUCUUCUGGCUAUCCGAGUUGUAAUUUCGAGAAGUAUUAUCCGCGCUGGACCGUGUACAAGUCUCCUGGAACGGGGCGUCAUAGAGGGUGAGAAUCCCGUCUCUGACACGGACUACCAGGGCUUCUGUGAUAUGCUCUCAAAGAGUCGAGUUGUUUGGGAAUGCAGCUCUAAAUGGGUGGUAAAUUCCAUCUAAAGCUAAAUAUUGGCAAGAGACCGAUAGCGAACAAGUACCGUGAGGGAAAGAUGAAAAGAACUUUGGAAAGAGAGUUAAACAGUACGUGAAAUUGUUGAAAGGGAAACGCUUGAAGUCAGUCGUGUUGGCCAGAAAUCAACUUGGCCUUGGCUAGGUGCACUUUCUGGUUUAACAGGUCAGCAUCAAUUUUGACUAGUGGACAAAGGUUUUGGGGAAUGUGGCAUCUUCGGAUGUGUUAUAGCCCCUAGUCAUAUGCACUGGUUGGGAUUGAGGAGCUCAGCACGCCCUUGGGGUUGUGCUAAGGAUGCUGGCAUAAUGGCUUUAAUCGACCCGUCUUGAAACACGGACCAAGGAGUCUAACAUGCCUGCAAGUAUUUGGGUGGAAAACCCAAGUGCGCAAUGAAAGUGAAAGUUGAGAUCCCUGUCGUAGGGAGCAUCGACGCCCGGACCAGACCUUUUGUGACGGAUCCGCGGUAGAGCAUGUAUGUUGGGACCCGAAAGAUGGUGAACUAUGCCUGAAUAGGGUGAAGCCAGAGGAAACUCUGGUGGAGGCUCGUAGCGAUUCUGACGUGCAAAUCGAUCGUCAAAUUUGGGUAUAGGGGGCGAAAGACUAAUCGAACCAUCUAGUAGCUGGUUCCUG
rnacentral:rRNA from 1 species